CUUUAAUCGAUUUCUUCGGAUUGAAAUUUUAGUGACUGAGUGGCGGACGGGUGAGUAACGCGUGGGUAACCUGCCUCACACAGGGGGAUAACAGUUGGAAACGGCUGCUAAUACCGCAUAAGCGCACAGUACCGCAUGGUACAGUGUGAAAAACUCCGGUGGUGUGAGAUGGACCCGCGUCUGAUUAGCUAGUUGGCAGGGCAACGGCCUACCAAGGCGACGAUCAGUAGCCGACCUGAGAGGGUGACCGGCCACAUUGGGACUGAGACACGGCCCAAACUCCUACGGGAGGCAGCAGUGGGGAAUAUUGCACAAUGGGGGAAACCCUGAUGCAGCGACGCCGCGUGAGCGAAGAAGUAUUUCGGUAUGUAAAGCUCUAUCAGCAGGGAAGAAGAAAUGACGGUACCUGACUAAGAAGCACCGGCUAAAUACGUGCCAGCAGCCGCGGUAAUACGUAUGGUGCAAGCGUUAUCCGGAUUUACUGGGUGUAAAGGGAGCGCAGGCGGAAGGCUAAGUCUGAUGUGAAAGCCCGGGGCUCAACCCCGGUACUGCAUUGGAAACUGGUCAUCUAGAGUGUCGGAGGGGUAAGUGGAAUUCCUAGUGUAGCGGUGAAAUGCG
rnacentral:rRNA from 1 species